rnacentral:rRNA from 1 species
UACAGAGGUCUCAAGCGUUGUUCGGAUUCAUUGGGCGUAAAGGGUGCGUAGGCGGCCUGAUAAGUCGGGGGGUGAAAUUCUGCGGCUUAACCGCAGGACGGCCUUCGAGACUGUCGGGGCUUGAGCACGGUAGAGGCUGGUGGAAUUCCCGGUGUAGCGGUGGAAUGCGUAGAGAUCGGGAAGAACACCGAUGGCGCAGGACGGGC